UACAGAGGUCCCAAGCGUUGUUCGGAUUCACUGGGCGUAAAGGGUGCGUAGGUGGUUGAAUAAGUUAGGUGUGAAAGUCCUGGGCUUAACCUGGGGAUUGCGCCUAAUACUGUUUAGCUAGAGUACUGUAGAGGAAGGUGGAAUUUCCAGUGUAGCGGUGAAAUGCGUAGAUAUUGGAAGGAACAUCAGUGGCGAAGGCGACUUUCUGGACAGAUACUGACACUGAGGCACGAAAGCGUGGGGAGCAAACAGG
rnacentral:rRNA from 1 species